CCUGGAACUCACUAUGUAGGCCAGGCUGGCCUCAAACUCACAGCGACCCUCCUGCCUCAGCCUCCUGAGUGCUAGGAU
rnacentral:miRNA from 1 species